CUCCUUGCAAAAGGUUUGGAGACCCCUACCGUAGAGCAUGCUGUCUGCAGACACAACUAAGACAAUCUGCUUAGUGACCUCCUCGACCUUGGUUAGACCCGGGUUUGCUUCAUAUGAUCAAGAUGUGCUUCUGGGCGUUGAUUUGUACCAGCUCUAUCAUCUAUGGCAAGUGCUUCAUGUUCCUGAACUACCUAGCCCAGGGAGUCAAUCAGCAAGACGUUGCUGACAGUUAUGGAGUCAACCAGGUAACUCUCAACCGGAUCAUUUCAUGGAGCAAAUUUUUCGAAAAGUUUGUUGUCAAUCGUGUUCUAGUGCACACACUUAGAGGCAUAUGUGUAUUUGUGUGGAUAGAUGCAACAGUAAAUGUGGUGAGAACUUUGCAACGUGAGGUUUAUUGGUUCAAGUGCAGACUAGAUCACCCACAACAGCAUUAGUCUUGUUCAUGUCAUUUAAGGUGGUUCAGACAUCAUCGGAAGCUUCAUAGAAGUUAAUUUCCCUCCUAAAUAUGUACAAACCUUUAGUCACACUUAAGAAUGCUACAGUUAGAUAGAAAUCCAAUAGCUUUAGCUUCUCUUAAGACUUAAUUGUUAUUGUCUUAUGGAUUAGAGCGGACCAACACCCAGUUAGUAUUUACAAAAAAACCCGCCAGAUUUAAUUUAAAAAAUAAAUAAACCACACACAAGUUGAAGGAAGACUUAAUCACACAUGGUAAAAGGAAGUUAAAACCCAGUAUUCUGGUCAUUUGGCAUAGGAACAAACGGUUGUACUGGCAACCAGCUACAACAGACUAAGGUCACAGUGAAGGUACAGUUGGUUACAAUUUGUCGGAUUGCUUUCAGUUACUCAAUUGUAGGUUCGUCUUGUACCCAACUACGGUUUGCGGAAGCGCGCUCUUCUUGUGCAAAUCUGAGCAGUUACCAGGACGUUGCACCUCGGAUUCAUUCCUCUAGUUGAGACCCAGACGUGUCACGGUCAGUGCAGACUGCUUUUGUGGCAGUGAAAUGAAGCCAUGCACACUCGAUUGCGUAACCUCUGGACCUCCAGAUCCUGGAAGUGGUCGUCCUGGUCGGUCUGGAUGAUGAUUUUCUGCAGCUCGCGGAUCUCGCGCUCCAUCUUGGAACGCAGCUCGCGCUUCAUCUUGA